CUUCCACAAAAGUAAAUCCAUAAUGGCUGCUCUAUGGACUGUUGAUUAAUGCACUGUGCCCCCACAACAAUUUAAAGAUCAGGAUUGGCUGAAAAAAUCUGAAGCAAUUACUGUUUACUAAAGAAACUGCAGAUUUCGAUCUUAAAGGGACACUAUAGGCACCAAAACAACGUUAAUUUAAUUAAGCAGUUUUGGUGUAUUGACCAUUCCCCUGCAGUCUCAGUACACAAUUAUCUGCCAUUUAGGGAUAAAUCAGAUGGUUUAUUCAGCCCGAGUCACACCUCCCUGCAUGUGACUAACACAGCCUUCCUAAACACUUCCUGAAAAUGAACCUAGAUAUUUUAAGUUCCUGUAUUGCACAAAAAUUAAAUAAACAAGGUGAUUUGUGC